rnacentral:rRNA from 1 species
GUGGAUUAGAUACCCUGGUAGUCCACGCCCUAAACGAUGAGUACUAAGUGUUGCCGAGAGGCAGUGCUGAAGUUAACGCAUUAAGUACUCCGCCUGAGUAGUACGUACGCAAGUAUGAAACUUAAAGGAAUUGACGGGAGCCCGCACAAGCGGUGGAGCAUGUUGUUUAAUUCGACGAUACGCGAAGAACCUUACCAGGUCUUGACAUACCUUGCGAAGCUAUAGAGAUAUAGUGGAGGUUAACAAGAGUACAGGUGGUGCACGGCCGUCGUCAGCU